GAAGAUUUAAAUGAUUCUGUUGGAACC
rnacentral:piRNA from 1 species